UACGAAGGGGGCUAGCGUUGUUCGGAAUUACUGGGCGCAAAGCGUAGGUAGGCGGCGUCAUAAGUCAGGGGUGAAAUCCCGGGGCUCAACCUCGGAACUGCCUUUGAUACUGUGAUGCUCGAGUCCGAUAGAGGUGAGUGGAAUUCCUAGUGUAGAGGUGAAAUUCGUAGAUAUUAGGAAGAACACCAGUGGCGAAGGCGGCUCACUGGAUCGGUACUGACGCUGAGCUACGAAAGCGUGGGGAGCAAACAGG
rnacentral:rRNA from 1 species